rnacentral:lncRNA from 1 species
CUAACUAACACAUUUUGCUUGCAAAGCCCAAAAACAAAUCUACGAUGAGCUGUGUUUCCUAAACAAACAAUAUCUAUUUUGUUGUUGGUCCCAAACUAUUACAAUUAGUAUAAGAGCCAACUAGUGACCCAAUGUGUGGAUGGAUAUAUUAUGUUAUUGAUCGCUAUACACUUAGCUGAGCUUUAUUGAUUGCUUCUUCAACAGAACCCGCAGAGGUGAAAAAAAAUUAAUGAAAUAAGAUUUAAGCACCAUCUCAAUCUCAUCAAGGUCUUCUACCCAAUGGUUGUUAUCAUUUAAAAUGCCAUUUAUAAAAUUUCUUCCUUGUUGUGGCGUAGGCAUGGAAAAAUUUGUGCUUAAUUUAUCCGUAAUUCUUAGCUGACUUUAGACCUCUAAUGCCAAUAUUUUUUCAAAAAAUAUUUGUAUAACUGCUGCUUCACCUGCUUCAUCUCACAAGGAUUGAUGUUUUCGAUAGGGCCUCUUUUGAGAUCUUCCAAUUUGCCUAGAAGUCUUUUAAUUUCUUUCUUCUGUUACCAAAACAAUUACAACUCCAGGCUUUCAAAUUCACUUGGACGCCAGAAUAUUUGACAAGAAUGUAGAAGCUGGAUCAGUGGAGAUGUAAGCAUUGUUAGCACUCAUAUGUCUUGGAUUAUGUUCCUGCACUCAUCGUAUUGACUCUAAAACUCUUCAUAGUGAAAUCUUAUUGAUCUAUGCAUACUUCUCCUU